rnacentral:ncRNA from 1 species
AUAAACGCUAUGACGGAGACGGUAUUUUAUAAUACGUAGUUUUAGAGAGUCGGUGGUUGCUGCAAACCGAUACUACCUAUAAAAUAUAUAUCACUCCCGAGCUGUGUCCUUGAAAAGUAUUAGUAAAGGAUGACGACUAGCCCCGUUAAAGGCUUAGGUUUGUUAGAACCGAACAAAGAGGUAUCUAUAGAUACAUAUUUAGAUACAAUUAAGGUGGUACCACGGGUAUAUGCUCGUCCUUGAA